rnacentral:rRNA from 1 species
AGAGUUUGAUCCUGGCUCAGAGCGAACGCUGGCGGCGUGCUUAACACAUGCAAGUCGAGUGCGUAGUUUUCUGUAGCAAUACAGGGAAUGGGCGCACGGCGCCCGGGUGCGUAACACGUGGGCAAUCUGCCCUUGGAUGGGGAAUAACCCCGCGAAAGCGGGGCUAAUACCGCAUAACAUUUCUGGAACCGUGGUUUCGGAAAUCAAAGCCGUAAGGCGUCCGAGGUGGAGCCCGCGCCCGAUUAGCUUGUUGGCGAGGUAACGGCUCACCAAGGCUUUGAUCGGUAGCCGGUCUGAGAGGAUGGCCGGCCACACUGGAACUGAGACACGGUCCAGACUCCUACGGGAGGCAGCAGUGGGGAAUCUUGCGCAAUGGGCGAAAGCCUGACGCAGCGACGCCGCGUGGGGGAUGAAGCUUUUCGGAGUGUAAACCCCUUUCGACCGGGACGAAUGCCUCGCAAGAGGAGUGACGGUACCGGUAUAAGAAGCCCCGGCUAACUACGUGCCAGCAGCCGCGGUAAGACGUAGGGGGCCAGCGUUGCUCGGAAUAACUGGGCGUAAAGGGUCUGUAGGCGGUGCGGCAAGUCGGGAGUGAAAUUUCUGGGCUUAACCCAGGGACUGCUUCCGAAACUGCCGUGCUCGAGUGCGAGAGAGGUGAGUGGAAUUGCAGGUGUAGCGGUGAAAUGCGUAGAUAUCUGCAGGAACACCCGUGGCGAAAGCGGCUCACUGGAUCGCAACUGACGCUGAGAGACGAAAGCUAGGGGAGCAAACAGGAUUAGAUACCCUGGUAGUCCUAGCCCUAAACCAUCAGGACUUGGGGUGCAUCCCGUUGGGGGUGCGUCCCGUAGCUAACGCGUUAAGUCCUGCGCCUGGGGAGUACGGUCGCA